UCUGGUUGAUCCUGCCAGUAGUCAUAUGCUUGUCUCAAAGAUUAAGCCAUGCAUGUCUAAGUAUAAAUAGUAUACAGUGAAACUGCGAAUGGCUCAUUAAAACAGUUAUAGUUUAUUUGAUAAUUGACAAUUACAUGGAUAACCGUGGUAAUUCUAGAGCUAAUACAUGCUUAAACGCCCGACUUUAUGGAAGGGUGGUAUUUAUUAGACUGAAGCCAAUAUUCCUUGUGUCUAUUGCGGUGAUUCAUAAUAACUGAUCGAAUCUCUUUUUGAGAUAAAUCAUUCAAGUUUCUGCCCUAUCAGCUUUCGAUGGUAGUGUAUUUGACUACCAUGGCAGUAACGGGUAACGAAGAAUUAGGGUUCGAUUUCGGAGAGGGAGCAUGAGAAACGGCUACCACAUCUAAGGAAGGCAGCGGGCGCGUAAAUUACCCAAUCCUGACUCAGGGAGGUAGUGACAAGAAAUAGCAAACCGGGAACCUCAUGGUUUCACGGUAUUGCAAUGAGAACAAUUUAAAACCCUUAGCGAGAAUCAAGUGGAGGACAAGUCUGGUGCCAGCACCUGCGGUGAUUCCAGCUCCACUAGCGUAUAUUAAAGUUGUUGCAGUUAAAAAGCUCGUAGUUGAGCCUCUGUCUGGGGCUAGUUUUGGCUUUGGUCAGGCUAGUUCUAGGCAUCCGCCUACAAGACUUAGAGGGCAUUCAGUUGUUCACUAGGAGGAGUAGGCAUUUUACUUUGAAAAAAUUAGAGUGUUAAGGCAGGCAAUCGCCCGCAUAUAUUAGCAUGGAAUAAUAGAAUAGGACACUUUUCCAUUUCGUUGGUUAUUGGAAUCGUGUAAUGAUUAAUAGGGACAGUUGUGGGCAUUUGUAUUUAAUUGUCAGAGGUGAAAUUCUUGGAUUUAUUAAAGACAAACUAACGCGAAAGCAUUUGCCAAGGAUGUUUUCAUUAAUCAAGAACGAAAGUUAGGGGAUCAAAGACGAUCAGAUACCGUCCUAGUCUUAACUAUAAACUAUUCCGACUCAAUGUUUGACUGGCUUAUAUAACCAGUUGAGCGUUGUAUGAGAAAUCAAAGUCUUUAGGUUCUGGGGGGAGUAUGGUUGCAAAGCUGAAACUUAAAGGAAUUGACGGAAGAGCACAACCAGGAGUGGAUUCUGCGGCUUAAUUCGACUCAACACGGGGAAACUUACCAGGUUAAAACAAUAGUGGGAUUGACAGUUUGAGAGCGCUUUCUUGAUUGGUUGGGUGGUGGUGCAUGGCCGUUCUUAGUUGGUGGAGUGAUUUGUCUGCUUAAUUGCGUUAACGAACGAGACCUU
rnacentral:rRNA from 1 species